ACGUAGGGGGCGAGCGUUAUCCGGAAUUAUUGGGCGUAAAGAGUGCGUAGGCGGUGCUUUAAGCGAGAGGUGAAAGGCAAUAGCUCACCUAUUGUAAUCCUUGUGAACUGGGGGACUUGAGUGCAGGAGAGGAAAGCGGAAUUCCUAGUGUAGCGGUGAAAUGCGUAGAUAUUAGGAGGAACACCAGUGGCGAAGGCGGCUUUCUGGACUGUAACUGACGCUAAGGCACGAAAGCGUGGGGAGCAAACAG
rnacentral:rRNA from 1 species